rnacentral:rRNA from 1 species
UACAGAGGUGGCAAGCGUUGUUCGGAAUUACUGGGCGUAAAGGGCGCGUAGGCGGCCUUCUCAGUCAGACGUGAAAUCCCCCGGCUUAACCUGGGAACUGCGUCUGAUACUGGAGGGCUUGAGUGCGGGAGAGGGAUGUGGAAUUCCAGGUGUAGCGGUGAAAUGCGUAGAUAUCUGGAGGAACACCGGUGGCGAAGGCGGCAUCCUGGACCGACACUGACGCUGAGGCGCGAAAGCUAGGGUAGCAAACGGG